AUCUAAACCUGACAUUCGCGGAAAGCCCGGAAUCCGAUCCUUCAUCGGAUGAGGACUUGCAGCAUUGGCAGGACUAACA
rnacentral:sRNA from 1 species